UACGUAGGGUGCGAGCGUUGUCCGGAAUUACUGGGCGUAAAGAGCUCGUAGGUGGUUUGUCGCGUUGUCCGUGAAAACUCACAGCUCAACUGUGGGCGUGCGGGCGAUACGGGCAGACUGGAGUACUGCAGGGGAGACUGGAAUUCCUGGUGUAGCGGUGAAAUGCGCAGAUAUCAGGAAGAACACCCGUGGCGAAGGCGGCUCUCUGGGACGGUACUGACGCUGAGACGCGAAAGCGUGGGGAGCGAACAGG
rnacentral:rRNA from 1 species